rnacentral:sRNA from 1 species
AUGUUCCAGCUGUCAGCCACCCCAGCAAGUGCCCUUGCAGAUGAUCCAGUGCACAUCCAAGUGACAGGCCUGCCCCCAUCCCAGGUGGUAACUCUGAAGGCCCCGCUGAAGGAUGAGAAGAAGAAUCUGUUCCAAUCCAUGGCCUUCUACAGGGCUAAUGAGGCUGGUGAGGUGGACUUGGAGCAGGCUCCCGCAUUUGGAGGUGACUACAUGGGAGUAUAUCCAAUGGGCCUCUUUUGGUCUCUGAAGCCUGAGAGGCCUUUCCAGAGGCUGCUCAAGCAGGAUGUGAUGAACAGCCCCUUUUGGGUCAGUCUGGACCUAUAUGACUCCAUUUGUUUUCAAGAUUCAGCCACUGUUUAGCCCAAGGCCAGCCAGACCAUGCAGCGCUGGUUCUCAGGCCCUGGGGUGCAGAGGAAGCAGAUCCAAGAAGGUCGAGUGCGAGGAGCCCUUUUUCUUCCUCCAGUAGAAUUUCGGGCCAGUCUUUUGGCUUCCCAUGGUUUUGCACUGCUGAUAUUAGCAUAUUUUGCCUACGAGGACUUGCCUGACAAACUGCAGGAGGUGGACUUGGAAUAUUUUGAGGAAGCUGCCAACUUGCUACUAGCUCAUCCCAAGAUCCAAAGGCCAGGAAUUGGAGUGAUCUCCGUGUACAAAGGUGCCGAGAUUGGCUUGGCUAUGGCCUACUACAUGAAGCAGGUGGUGGCCACCGUCUGCAUUAAUGGGCCCAACGCCAGCUUUGAAGUUCCAGUCAGAUACGGGGAUCUGAUUGUGACACCCAUCAGCUCAGCCCCGCAGCGCCUGCAGGUCCACGUCUCUGGAGCUGUGCGCCUCCGCCACCGUAAGGGAGACCCCCGAGAUGAGCUCCAUCAGCAGAGUGUGCUUCCUGUUGAAAAGGCUAGGGGUUGGAUUCUUUUCAUCGUUGGGGAGAGUGACGAAUGCCUGGAUAGUAAAGCGUACGCUGAGCAGGCCGUGGAGGCAGAAGCAGCAGGAGGAUGCCGGUGUACCCCGGGGCAGGCCAUGUCCUAGAACCGCCCUAUGCUCCCUUGUGCUUCGCGUCCUGGGACCCGGGCAUUUCCGGGCCCUUGCUCUGGGGAGGAGAUGCUGCUGCUCAUGCGGCAGCCCAGGAGCACGCCUGGGGGCAGAUCCAGAAAUUCUUCAGGCAACACCUCAUUAAGACCAGAAGCAAACUCUGAGCAAAGGC